CUGGCUUCUCUCCACCGGUGCUGGCCAGGCCUCCACCCCAUGGCCACAGACUGGACUUCCCCUACGGACUGCAGGGACAGGCCAGUGGAAUUCCCAGGGGAGUCUCGGGUCCUGGAUCCUGGACAAGCAGGCACCGUGUGAAGCGCUCAACAAACAUCCUCCCAUCUGAUCCACACAACAACCUGAGAAGCAGGUGCUGGUACGACCCCAUUCCACAGUUGAGGAGACUGAGGCAGACUUGCCGGGGUCCCAGAGCGCGUAAGAGUCUGCGGCUGGACUCCAGCCUUGGCUUCCUGGCCACGGGCCCGGUUCUGCGCGCGUGGUGCCCCCCAGUGCUUUGGUUCUAGUCUCGGCCGCAGAGACUGGCCUCGCAUCACUUUUCCGAGCACAUUCUCUCUCCAUCCCGGUUUAGUGCUGGGCAUGGUGUGGUCCCAGUGUGGCCUGCACUCGAAGGCAGUCUUCUUGCCACCUGGGGGGCUGGCAGUUCAUGAGGAAAGAUUCCCCUCUUCAGGAACCCCACUACCCCUUCUCUCCUUCAGAGGCCUCCCCAGCGUGGGCUGGGCCCAGAGAAGGCACUUCCUAGAUGACUUUGCGCUCUUGACUGGAUUCUGAACAGACCCUUGGCACAGCGGAGAGAAUCCUGGGUCUGGAGUUCAAGUCUCAGCCCUUCCACUUAGUCCCUGGGGGUCCACCAACUGCCUCGGCAUCCCCCUCAUCUUCUCUAUAAAACCAAAGCGUUGGCCAAGGGAUCUCUA